rnacentral:rRNA from 1 species
AUUGAACGCUGGCGGCAGGCCUAACACAUGCAAGUCGAGCGAGCGGCGGACGGGUGAGUAAUGUCUGGGAACAUGCCGGAUGGAGGGGGUUAACUCCUGGAAACGGUGUCUAUUACCGCAUACACUCGGAUGUGCCCAGAUGGGAUUAGCUAGUAGGUGGGGUACCGGCUCACCUAGGCGACGAUCCCUAGCUGGUCUGAGAGGAUGACCAGCCACACUGGAACUGAGACACGGUCCAGACUCCUACGGGAGGCAGCAGUGGGGAAUAUUGCACAAUGGGCGCAAGCCUGAUGCAGCCAUGCCGCGUGUGUGAAGAAGGCCUUCGGGUUGUAAAGCACUUUCAGCGGGGAGGCGUUACCCGCAGAAGAAGCACCGGCUAACUCCGUGCCAGCAGCCGCGGUAAUAC